rnacentral:rRNA from 1 species
GAGUUUGAUCCUGGCUCAGGAUUAACGCUGGCGGCGUGCCUAAUACAUGCAAGUCGAACGGAAGUACCUUCGGGUACUUUAGUGGCGAACGGGUGAGUAAUACAUAGGUAACCUACCCUUAAGACGAGGAUAGCCAUUGGAAACGAUGGAUAAAACUGGAUAGGAUAUAGAGGAAGAAUCUUUUAUAUUUAAAAGAGAGAUCUGCUUAAGGAGGGGCCUGUGGCGCAUUAGCUAGUUGGUGGGGUAAGGGCCUACCAAGGCGAUGAUGCGUAGCCGGACUGAGAGGUUGAACGGCCACAAUGGAACUGAGAACGGUCCAUACUCCUACGGGAGGCAGCAGUAGGGAAUUUUCGGCAAUGGGGGGAACCCUGACCGAGCAACGCCGCGUGAACGAAGAAGGUAUUCGUAAUGUAAAGUUCUU